UUAAAUUGAAGAGUUUGAUCAUGGCUCAGAUUGAACGCUGGCGGCAGGCCUAACACAUGCAAGUCGAACGGCAGCACAGAAGAGCUUGCUCUUUGGGUGGCGAGUGGCG
rnacentral:rRNA from 1 species